GGACUAUAUUAUCUGGCUGUGACAUCCAUCACCACAUGGUUGCCAGACUUGAUUAGGUUUAUGUGUCUGGCUGAGUAGGCAUCUCUUCCUCCUUCCCUGUUCCUUGUGUAUCCCUCNUGAAGCUUCACAAUAGGUGUAAAAAGGAUGGCCUUCCAAAAUAGAAGAGGACCUAUCUUCAGUCAAAGGUAUAUGAGUAACUGGACUCCCCUGCUAGUACCCCCAAACAAGUGCUCAAAGAUUUAAAACUCAAAGUGCUUCCUGUGGUAUCCUUUAUGGGCCCACAGCACUACAAUUUAGAAGUCACAUAGAAUGAAGGGGUU
rnacentral:snRNA from 1 species